rnacentral:rRNA from 1 species
AUACGGAGGAUCCGAGCGUUAUCCGGAUUUAUUGGGUUUAAAGGGUGCGCAGGCGGCCAUUUAAGUCAGCGGUUAAAUCGUGAGGCUCAACCCCAUUCUGCCGUUGAUACUGGGUGGCUUGAUUGCGGUCGAGGUUGGCGGAAUUCGUUGUGUAGCGGGGAAAUGCAUAGAUAUGACGAAGAACACCGAUUGCGUAGGCAGCUGACCAGACCGCAAAUGACGCUCAUGCACGAAAGUGCGGGGAUCGAACAGGAUUAGAUACCCUGGUAGUCCGCACAGUAAACGAUGAAUACUUGUUUUCGGCGAUAUAAUGUCGGAGGCAAAGCGAAAGCGAUAAGUAUUCCACCUGGGGAGUACGCCGGCAACGGUGAAACUCAAAGGAAUUGACGGGG